GAUCAUGGCUACAGGACGAACGCUGGCGGCGUGCCUAACACAUGCAAGUCGAACGGAGAUAUGAUUUCGGUUGUAUCUUAGUGGCGAACGGGUGAGUAACGCGUGAGCAACCUGACUCUUAGAGGGGGAUAACACUCGGAAACGGGUGCUAAUACCGCAUAAGACCACGACAUGGCAUCAUGACGAGGUCAAAGGAGCAAUCCGCUGAGAGAGGGGCUCGCGUCCCAUUAGAUAGAUGGCGGGGUAACGGCCCACCAUGUCAGCGAUGGGUAGCCGAGCUGAGAGGCUGAUCGGCCACACUGGAACUGAGACACGGUCCAGACUCCUACGGGAGGCAGCAGUGGGGAAUAUUGGGCAAUGGGCGCAAGUCUGACCCAGCAACGCCGCGUGAGGGAAGAAGGCUUUCGGGUUGUAAACCUCUGUCCUUGGUGACGAAAAAAUGACGGUAGCCAAGGAGGAAGCCCCGGCUAACUACGUG
rnacentral:rRNA from 1 species